GACGAACGCUGGCGGCGUGCCUAAUACAUGCAAGUAGAACGCUGAAGAGAGGAGCUUGCUCUUCUUGGAUGAGUUGCGAACGGGUGAGUAACGCGUAGGUAACCUGCCUUGUAGCGGGGGAUAACUAUUGGAAACGAUAGCUAAUACCGCAUAACAAUGGAUGACACAUGUCAUUUAUUUGAAAGGGGCAAUUGCUCCACUACAAGAUGGACCUGCGUUGUAUUAGCUAGUAGGUGAGGUAAUGGCUCACCUAGGCGACGAUACAUAGCCGACCUGAGAGGGUGGUCGGCCACACUGGGACUGAGACACGGCCCAGACUCCUACGGGAGGCAGCAGUAGGGAAUCUUCGGCAAUGGGGGCAACACUGACCGAGCAACGCCGCGUGAGUGAAGAAGGUUUUCGGAUCGUAAAGCUCUGUUGUAAGUCAAGAACGGGUGUGAGAGUGGAAAGUUCACACUGUGACGGUAGCUUACCAGAAAGGGACGGCUAACUACGUG
rnacentral:rRNA from 1 species